CGGCCCAGCCCGGCCCUGCCCCGCGCUGCCGGCCGCAGGUGCUUAAAUAGCGGCGCCAGCUGCACUGCCGCGUCCUUCGCAACGCGGGAAGGGUGGGAGCGGACCUGCCCCACCCGGCGUCUGAAUUAUCCGGGGCGCAAGUGUCCAGUCUUCUCCCUGGAGAGCCCACGGCUCCCUACGCUGCUUCCACAAUGACCCUUACGCCAUCUCUGUGAGAGGAUGGAAUGUCUCUGAAGGGACCUCUUCAGCUGUUCUGCUGACACACAGUAUUCUCGUGGCUGCUGGUGGCAUACGACUGGGAGGGCCCAGGUUGGCUUUUGAUGGAUGGUAGCCAAGAUCUCCAUGGUUGCUAGUCACCAUGGAGUGAC